ensembl:lncRNA
GACGGCAUGUUCGGUGGGAAAGCCGCUUGCUGGCACCAGACACUGCUGAAGUGCUCCUGAGCAAGGUCACCAAAGCCCGGUACGGAGAAGAAUAGAAGAAGAAGAUAGAAGAAGAGAACCAGUGGGGAUGCAUCGGAGGAGAAGCCGCUGAUGCUGCCAGGAGGAAGUGACAGCGUCAUGGCAGGAGUGUCGCCGGUCAAGAUCCAAAUCGGUUCUGAACAAUCCUCCGCCCCCAUCCUCCAUUCCGGUUCUUUGUCUUUCUGUGUGUGUGUGUGUGUGAGGCUGUUCUGGGGAGAUGGAGGGAGAGAGGUUUUCUGUUGUGAUGGUAUUAGCCCCUGUCAAGCUAAAUGGGCUUUAAUUGGGGGAAUGUUUGGUGCAACACAGGCUGGAGUUUCUGUCUCACACACACACACACACACACACACACACACGCGCUCGCUCGUCCAGUCACCCCACUGCCGUCUUCUUUCAUCCAAAUAGGCUCCAUCUCGGAAUCAACAGGCGUCUCAUCUCUUCCUCUCUUACCGUCACUGUCUUCCACUGUCUUUUUUUUUUCCCACUCUUCCUGCUUUUUCCCGCCUCUCUCUUUUUCUCCUCACUUGCCCUCGUGUCUUUGUCCUCGCAGGAACCUGUAUCACAUUUGAAAUAACCAUGUACGGUCAAAUUAAGGAUAUUGGAUAAGUAGCUGUAGUGUGUGUGUGUGUGUGUGUGUGUGUGUGUGUGUGUGUGUGUGUGUGUGUGUGUGUGUGUGUGUGUGUGUGUGUGUGUGUGUGUGUGUGUGUGUGUGUGUGUGUGUGUGUGUGUGUGUGUGUGUGUGUGUGUGUGUGUGUGUGUGUGUGUGUGUGUGUGGAAAGUGAGACAGACAAAAGGGAGACCAAAUGUGUACGUGCAUGUUUGAAUGCUGGAGGCUGGAUUUCUAGAUUCCAGCGCCGCUUUACGAAGCUUUAGCUCUCGGAAGUUUUUUUUUUUUUGGUACAUUCCCUCAACAAUCUGCCCGACUAAGAAAUGGGUGAAUGCAGACUUAAGUUUGACACGACACACAUCACAGCACCGUGCCGGGCGGUGUGUGUGCACGUCUGUGACCGGGUCAGCGUGGGAAGGGGGAGCGAAAGCAUGUUGGUGUGUCUGGAUGAGCAAACCGGUGUCAGGUAAGAACGAGAUGUGAUUGAUGAUCACUCCGCGGCUCAGCCUCGGCUCAGGUGCGCUGCGUGGUUGACAUGCUCAGAUAAGGGGCCCGACCCCCCGGGGUGGGAGCGUCGCAGCACAGGCCCAACACCAGGUCACAUGUCAAGGACUUGACCUCCUGGGACGAAACGGCACGUGUUGUUUUUGUAUUGUCUUCUGAUUUAGAAAAACGUUCUUGGUGUGCCGGAAGCCACGGGAUUUGAAAAGAGAGCAAAGGAGAAAGAAAGAAAGAAAAGAAGCAGAAGACAAAUCCAAUAUGAUCCAUCCGGUCCAAUCAGCCAGAGGAAAGAGACGGAGCAUCGAGAAGACUGAGCCACUUCAGACUCGCCAACAUUUCGUAGCCUACAGGUUGCAUCCAUCCAUCCAUUCUUGUCUCAUGACUGACUGUUUCCUGAUUCCUGUUCGCGCAGCGCAUGGGAAGCUUUUGGUGAACCUUUGACCUUGUGUAUAGCGCACGCACACACACACGCACACACACAUCACCAACCCUCCCUCUCUCUCUCAGGGCAGUCUAUCUCCGGUCUGGACACUCAUUUAUGAGCUUUAUUACACAGCAAUUAAACACUGACACACACGCACACACGCACACACACACAGGAGAGGAGGAUAGUUUCAGGGGGAAGUUUGGCCAUUGACUUCAUUGGUAACUGAUUCACAAAUGUUGUUUCCUUUAGGUGGGUGAUGAAUUCGACCAAAUAGUGAUAGUUAAUCAUAGUAGAGUGAGGUGUGUGUGUGUGUGUGUGUGUGUGCGCGCCCCCCCGUUUACUUUCUUCUCCCGUGCUGUGGAUCUUCUAUUGUGCAGUGCGCGUUCCCGGCGCGCCGCCACGGUCGCGCGCACAUCUAUAUCCUGUGACUGAAAGUCUCCCGACUUCAUUCAACCCGGAGAUCUCACGAGACACCAUCCAACUCCUCUGGGAGUGUUGGUGCAGAGAGCGCUUUCCUUCCCCCCCCCCUACCUCCCUCUUGUCGCUUCUCCGCGCGUCCUCCUCAUUCUGGAAAAUUCCAAGUGAAAUGAUUUUUAUUACAAAUUGUUCCAAGUUGCAGCUCCGCCGCUGCAGGACGCACAUGAGCAGAUGUGAUGUGGAACAAGUGAGGACAGCGAGAUGGAAACCGUCGGAUGCGUGAGUGUGAAAGGGACAGUUUGGGGACUUCCAGUGGGGACCUGCAGCCGGACGUCGACCUGACCCCCACUGGGGUUCGAUGACUUGACUUCAUGGUCACUUCUAUAUUCACGAUCCCACUUCUCUUUACACCGACAGCGAUUUACUGCGGAUGCAGGAGCAGAAUAGGAUUGAAUCCCUGCCUCAUCCGCGCUUCACCCCGGAGGUUUUUAUCAAAGACUCGCCCCCAAUUUUUUUUUGAAAUUCUCUUUUCACUGAGGCUGGUGGUGCUGGUGGUCUGUUCCCCCAGAGGGAUGCUUCUGGGCCCCCGGGGCCAGGGAGCGACAGCCCGGCUCCUGCAGCGGACCACCGCCUCGUCCUGGUGCCUA